UGUUAAGUAAAAAAGACGGACGCUGCCUGAAUCAUGAAGCUGUUCCUCAUUAGAUGUGUGGCCCGGGGUUAAAGUCGCGCCUGAUCUGCCAACCUGCCCAAGAACUCUGGCACAAGGGCCCUGCAUGCCUGCACCACGGAGGGGACUCUCAACAUUCUUCUGCAGCUGUAGCCCGCUACUGCUCGUUUCUAGAUGCACUUCUCUGCUCUGCCUGGAGAAUGGCGAUGAAGUGACAUCUCCAUGGAAACAGAUGUUGAUCCCACAGUUGCUUAGCGAUGUGCUGCAGGAUGAUGUCCAGGGUACAUCCCACUUCCUCCAGGAAGCCCUCCCUGACCGCUGCCACCCAGGCUCAUCUGCAGCACUUCCUGGCUGUAGCCCUUGCUUUCUUCUCUGUGAACAGUGACUCAUGAUGCAUACUUUGCAUAAACAUG